CCUGUCACUUGCUCCCCCCUGACAGUGUGUCCUUUAGUGCCGUUCAUUCGAACUUGCUUUCUUCUAUUUUUGACUCUCCGUGGAAAAAAUUUAAAUACAAAAAAAAAAAAGAAAAUCAAACAUUGCUUGUACCAGUUGACCUUUUACCCCAGAACCUAACAAUUUCAUAUUUCCUUCAUUUGGGGUGUGCAAACUUUUUUUGUAGUCUUUCUUUCAUCUCUUUAUUUUGGAGGAAUUGUUUUCAUCAACUGGACGUCAUACAGGAAAGUGACUGAGUGGAAUAUGGGGACAAAAGGACAAGAAAGGACAGGAAAAUCUCCCAGGGAGGAGAGACUCCGCCUGCAGCGACCGCUUCACUCCAUGUGAGCCACCAUCCCUAUCUGGACCACCUUUACUAUGGUCUCCAUCCAGAUUUGUCUCCUCACUUCCUCUUCCUCUUCAACUCUGUCCACCUUUCAGACCAGGCCCACCCCUAAAAUGCUUUGCUAAAGCUGGUAAAAUGGAACCAAAUCAACUGUUCAAUGGAUUUGGUCCCCUUCAACCAGCUGUAGCUGUGCAUUGAUCACUGCGAAUUAUGCACACACACUUGGGUGGAGGGACAGAAAAGCAGUGGAAAGACUUGAGCUAAUUUACUGGAAAACAGCUUGGAAAAUCUAAAAAUUGAAGCUACAUUAGCUUUCUGCACAGAAACAAUUGGACUGUGAUGCAGAAACUCAUCCAUGGAUAAAUACCCAGCAUGCACCAGUUACUGCAUGGAUUUAUCUCUAUCAAACAGAUUACCCAAAAGGCAUUGAAGUCAUUUGCUAAAUCUGAAUAAAACAAGCCAGGUAGGUAAUUAUAGACGCUGAGAUGCUGUAUCUUGGUGAAUUUGUACUUUGUUACAUGCUGCUAUAAAUGCAUUCUCCUAUGGAGACUUUUUUAUUGUACUUUGUAGAUUCUGAAGUGUGUGUGCAGAAGUGUGGUAUGGUUGAAGAGCUAUUGAGUGUAAGAACAAAUGCUGUGUAAGAAAAGCACUGGUGCAUUUUUGUGUGUGCAUGCAUGUGUGUGUGCCAUUGACUGCUAAUGCACAUGUCUGAUCAAUAAAG